rnacentral:rRNA from 1 species
CACGGGGGGAGCAAGCGUUGUUCGGAAUCACUGGGCGUAAAGGGCGUGUAGGCGGUCAGGUAAGUGAGCUGUGAAAUGCCCCGGCUCACCCGGGGACCGGCAUCUCAUACUGCUUGGCUUGAGUACGGGAGAGGAUGUGGGAAUUCCUGGUGUAGCGGUGAAAUGCGUAGAUAUCAGGAGGAACACCGGUGGCGAAGGCGCACAUCUGGCCCGAUACUGACGCUGAGGCGCGAAAGCUAGGGGAGCAAACGGG